rnacentral:rRNA from 1 species
UACGGGGGGGGGCAAGCGUUGUUCGGAAUUACUGGGCGUAAAGGGCUCGUAGGUUGCCAACUAAGUCAGACGUGAAAUCCCUCGGCUUAACCGGGGAACUGCGUCUGAUACUGGAUGGCUUGAGUUCGGGAGAGGGAUGCGGAAUUCCAGGUGUAGCGGUGAAAUGCGUAGAUAUCGGAAGGAACAUCAGUGGCGAAAGCGACUUCCUGGACCAGUACCGACGUUCAGGCACGAAAGCGUGGGGAGCAAACAGGGA